AAAAUAAUAUUCUAUCAACAAAAUUAAGUUGAUAUCGUAUCUCAACUUCCCCAUUUCACGAGUCCAUGAUCCUCCAUCUUCUCUCACCCACGAUCUCUUUUCAAGAAAUCUUUGUCUCCAUAUAUGUUCGACAUCGUUGCGUCUGAGUUGGUGGUGUAAGAAAAGUAUCCUGCCCCAUUUUAGAUUUUUCUAGGUUCACAAAAACUUUCAGAUUUUCCUCCUCUUUUAUCUUUUUUGAAUCAUUUGACCUCAUCGUUGUAUUUAUUCUCAUCUAACUUGAGUCGUUUUAAGUCUUCUUAAUUUUGUUUAGAUAUCUCAGAGGAGCAAAAUGGAUUCAAGGAUCCUCCAUGGAAAAUGGGAUGGAGUUGCAAGAGUGAAAUUGACCUUUUUUAUUGCGCUCUACAUCUUGGAUUUGUAAGGACACACAUGAAGACGUACGCAGCAUAUGUAAAGAACAAGAUAAAUUCAAAGAUGGAGAAAUGGAUCAUUAGAGAGGUUGAGGAAACAAUAUAAAGCAAUAAAGAAAUAGUAUGACUUGAAGUAGGAGAAUCAUUCAGAAGGGAAUUCAGAUAUUCCAAUAAGCAGCAACACAAUUUCAAAGUUGUAGUCAUUCAGUAGACACCAAUAACGAUACAUUCUCUCACCAUAGACUCCCAAGUCGUGCUUCAUCAUCUAAUUCACCAAACGCAUUUGAGCAGUUCUGAUUUCUGAAGAAUACGUAUGACCAAUUGACCAUGGUGAUGCAACAAAUAUAUAUAUAUAUAUAUAUAUAUAUGAGUAUUGCAAUGCUUUCAUGUGGUAUGAUGAACGUGUUGGCAAAAGAUGCAGAUGACCACAUCUGAUAAAACUUAACGAAGCUUACUCUGCUACUUUAUCGCUUCCGUUUUCAAUCAGUGACUUCAAACUCCCUCUCAUCUCACAGUAUCGAUAAUUCAUCCCUAUGUCUUUUGUUUGCAUGUAAUCUUUAUAGUAUCUGAUAAAGAGUUAUGAAAGAUACGAUACAUGUUCUCUUACAUUGUAUUCUCCAAUUAUU